rnacentral:rRNA from 1 species
GAUGAACGCUGGCGGCGUGCUUAAUACAUGCAAGUCGAGCGAAGCGGGGACGGGUGAGUAACACGUGGAGAACCUCCUUUACGACCGGGAUACCUGCGGGAAACACGAGCUAAACAUGAUAUUUAUACAUUGAUCCGCGCUGCAUUAGGUAGUUGGUAAGGUAACGGCGUACCAAGGCAACGAUGCAUAGCCGACCUGAGAGGGUGAUCGGCCACACUGGAACUGAGACACGGUCCAGACUCCUACGGGAGGCAGCAGUAGGGAAUCUUCCGCAAUGGGCGAAAGCCUGACGGAGCAACGCCGCGUGAGUGAUGAAGGUCUUCGGAUCGUAAAACUCUGUUAUUAGGGAAGCGGUACCUAAUCAGAAAGCCACGGCUAACUACGUGCCAGCAGCCGCGGUAAUUC